rnacentral:rRNA from 1 species
GACGAACGCUGGCGGCAUGCUUAACACAUGCAAGUCGAACGCAUGCUAGGUGCUUGCACCUAGUGAUGAGUGGCAGACGGGUGAGUAACACGUGGGAACUUACCCUUUAGACUGGGACAACCAUUGGAAACGGUGGCUAAUACCGGGUAAGCCCUGAGGGGGAAAGCCGAAAGGCGCUAAAGGAGAGGCCCGCGGCAGAUUAGGUAGUUGGUGGGGUAAAGGCCUACCAAGCCGAUGAUCUGUAGCUGGUUUGAGAGGAGGAUCAGCCACACUGGGACUGGGAAACGGCCCAGACUCCUACGGGAGGCAGCAGUGGGGAAUAUUGGACAAUGGGGGAAACCCUGAUCCAGCAAUGCCGCGUGAGUGACGAAGGCCUUAGGGUUGUAAAGCUCUUUUACCUAUGAAGAUAAUGACGGUAGUAGGGGAAUAGGCCCUGGCUAACUCUGUGCCAGCCGCCGCGGUAA